rnacentral:lncRNA from 1 species
UUUAUUCUUUCAAAAUAUCUAAUGUAUACAGUUACUCAAGAUAUUAAUUUUCUUCUCUGAACUACACCUAUAUAUACACCUCAACUCCAUAUUUCCCUCUACACAAAUACACCGAAAAAAUAACAACCAUCAUCAGUUAAUGGACUACUUCAAGCAUAACCGUCGGAUGAGAAGCAAGCUUGUGAUGUCCUCGUAUCAGACGGCUCAGCCGUCGUGGUCAACGGUGCAGUACUACGAUAACAGUCAAGUAGUAAGGCAUGGAGAUUCUCGCCGUCAAUUAAACGACGCCGUGGAGGAGGACAACAUUGACGCCAUGGCGGAAAGUUACAUCACUUGCGUUAAAGAACGUUUCAGGCUUCAACUGCUCACUGCCGAUGUUUGAUGAGUAGUUAUUCCGAUUCUAUAGUUUAUCAUUCUGUAAAUUGAUUUCUGUUUUCGUUUAUGUUGAGUGUGUUUAAGAUCACUACUUAUAUGAUGUAGAUAUAAAUAUAUAUUAUGUCUGCAAUAUAUAUAUAUAUAUAUACCCCACUAGAGUUUUAUAUUCACCCAAGUAGGAAAGUUAUGGAGACUUAUGAAUUACAUACAUUCUAUAGAUAUCUUCUUCAUUUCAUAGGGCCAUAAUAUGGAAGUGAUGUUAUUUUUAAAGUUUUAAUAUCAAAAUUCAGAAGCUAAAGAGUAUUAUUAUUCAAUAAAUAGUUAAUUGAACGGC